GGAUUUUAAAAUACCAAGAACAAUCGGUCUAGAUCUUUAAUAGAAUGUGCAAAUUUUAAUUGUAGUAGAUAAUUCAGGUGUAAGAAUUUUCAAUUUAAUAUAGAAAAUGACAGGUUUUAUCAUAUUUAUGGUUGUAUUUUACAAAAAACAGAAAACUUUUGUUUGAAUAAUUUUUUUCCAACUUUACCACAUAAGGGGAGGCAACUCAAAUCCAAGGGCAGAUAAUUCAGAUAAAGGUACUUUUACAAUAGAAUGUGUUAGGAAUUUACCUAUUUUAUUAUGUAGACAGAAAACAGGUCCAGUGAUCCC
rnacentral:lncRNA from 1 species